rnacentral:lncRNA from 1 species
AUGUGAGCACAGUCAGUGCCAACUAUCUGGAGCCUCCAGCAGCCCUGGCCAUCCGACACCUUUGAAAUAAAAGGCAGUGGAUUCCUUUCAUUUGCAAAGUUGAAUUCUAGGGUAUGUAGUUCAAUGACGGAAUUAGGCUUGAAAUACGUUUGCAGGACACAGGUUCAUACAUGAAUGACCCAGCGUGACUCUGGCAUGUGGCUGAAGUUUCCCCAGGGACACCAGGCAGGAGAGCUGAGACUUGACGUCGGCUGGCCUCAAGAGACCUUGGAGUCGGUGAGGACCACGUACUGCCUGGGGAGGCAGGUCUACCUUUGACCCCAGCCCUAGGGCAUGCUGGGAGAAAGGUGGGUGCCAUCCUUUCUGGGGUCAAGGUCCUGUUCUCGUGGCUGGCUCCUUCCAGCUUUAUCUGGGCUCCCAGUGUUGGUUCACCACCCGAGGCUCUGCUCUGUGUGU